UGCCAUUUAAUAAAGUUUAUAUACACUGACUCGUGUUGAUCUAAAUUUAAUCCAAUUUGUUUACUCGUCGUUUUACUGCAAUUAAUCAACGUAGCUUUCUUGAACUAAGAAAUGCGCAUGUCAAAUUUGUUUGUUUGCCUGUAUGCAUACAGCUCAUGUUGGCUUUGAUGGUUGACGAGUGUGAUUUUUGAGGCACUUCUUGUAUUCUAGACGCAAAUCUGUUUGUUAUGCUCGAUUGUCUUAUUUGCAGGGGUCAGAUCGAGUGAUUUGGCAAUAUGCAGCGCGCUCCGGUGACAAUCGAGGAGCAGCUGAUUUUGAAAGCGAUAAAGGAGGAAUGCCCAUGGGAGAAUCUCCCAAAAAGGCUUCAAGCCACUCUUAAUUCCAAAGAGGAAUGGCAUAGAAGGGUUAUCGAACAUUGUAUUAAGAAAAGACUCCAAUGGAAUACAUGUUUUGCUCGCAAAGUAUGCAAAGAAGGUGAAUAUUAUGAAGACAUGAUGCGCUACUUGCGAAAGAAUCUGGCGCUAUUUCCCUAUCACCUUGCAGAAUAUGUUUGCCGUGUAAUGCGGUUAUCACCUUUCAGAUAUUACUGUGAUAUGAUAUUUGAGGUCAUGAGAAAUGAGCAACCUUAUGACAGCAUCCCAAAUUUUAGUGCUGCAGAUGCCUUGCGUCUUACAGGAAUAGGAAGAAAUGAAUUUAUUGAUAUCAUGAACAAAUGCAGAUCUAAGAAAAUUAUGUGGAAGCUGAACAAGUCAAUUGCAAAAGAACUCCUACCCACACAACCUGUGGACUUUGCAAUUGAACCAUGGUGGGGAGUGUGCCUUGUCAAUUUUACCUUGGAAGAAUUUAAGAAACUUUCUGAAGAAGAGACGGCUACAAUUGAUAAAAUUUGCAAGGAGGAGGCUAAUGCAUUUAUCCUCUUUGAUCCUGAUGUUGUAAAAGGCCUGUACCAACGAGGAUUAAUUUACUUUGAUGUCCCUGUCUACCCCGAUGAUCGUUUUAAAGUUUCCAGGCUUGAAGGGUUUGUUUCCAACAGGGAGCAGUCCUAUGAAGAUCCUACUGAAGAGUUACUAUAUGCAGUCUUUGUUGUUUCAAGUGAGAAUGCUACUGUUGCUGAACUGGCAUCAACAUUGCAGGCUGACCUGUCUCAGCUGCAGGCGGCUGCAUCAUUUGCUUGUAGAUUAGGAUGGGCAGAGAAAUUGAUUGAUCCAGGAUCCAUUCUUCAAGAAACAAGCAUACCCGGGACUCCUAAAAUCACUCUUGGUGACGAGGAAGAUGCUUUUCAUGCUAGUAUACGCUCAGCAAACAUGUUCAACGACAGUGAUUCUAGUCAGCAUGGAGAUCUUACAGUGACAGAACACUCCGGACCACGUUCCAACCACACUCAAGUUGCUUUUAUUGUUGAUGCUAAUAUAACAUCUUAUCUCAUGAUGGGGUCUGUUUCACCAGGUUUAAAAUCCCAUGCUGUAACCUUAUAUGAAGCAGGGAAGUUGGGUCAUGCUAGCAUUGCAGAUCUCUGCAAGGAUCUGAGUACCUUAGAAGGAGCAAAGUUCGAGGGUGAAUUGCAGGAAUUUGCAAAUCAUGCCUUUAGCCUCCGUUGUGUCCUGGAAUGCCUCCUAUCAGGUGGGGUUGCUGCUGAUGUAAAAGUGGAGGAAGCUUGCAAUAAAAUGGGCACAGCAGCUUCAAGCAUUGAUGAGGCUACGUCUUUGAUAGCCGAUGUCGCUGUGUCUGAAAAUUCAGAAAAUAUUGGGGCUGAUGAAGUGAAAAUAGACAAUGAUGAUUCCAUGAAUUCAAUUACCCCUGAAGCUGGUUCUGUUUUGGCUAACCUUGUUUCUGGAAGUACUGAUGAUGACACCACUUCUGUUAUUUUAUCUGAAGACAUAAAUUCAUCAACUGAGGUCUCCAAAUCAGAUCAAGAUGUCCAGAAUGAUGAUAAACUUAUUCCAUUUGGAGGGUCUGAUGUUGGAGAAGGAACUUUAAAGAGGAGAAGGGAUUAUCGUGUGGAUAUUCUCCGCUGUGAAAGUUUGGCUGCUCUAGCACCAUCAACUUUAGACUCAUUAUUUCUCCGGGACUAUGAUAUUGUUGUGUCUAUAGUUCCUCUCCCUCAUUCAGCAGUUCUUCCUGGGCCAAAAGGUCCGAUCCACUUUGGUCCUCCUUCGCAUUCAUCCUUGACUCCAUGGAUGAAGUUGGUGCUUUAUUCAACUGUGGGUAGGGGGCCUUUGUCAGUUGUUUUGAUGAAAGGGCAAUCUUUACGUUUGCUUCCUGCACCAUUGGCUGGCUGUGAGAAAGCCCUUAUAUGGUCUUGGGAUGGUUCAACAAUUGGAGGGUUGGGAGGCAAGUUUGAGGGAAAUUUGGUCAAGGGAAGUAUACUUUUACAUUGUCUAAAUUCACUUCUUAAAUACUCAGCUGUCCUGGUGCAGCCUCUCAGUAAGUAUGACCUUGAUGAAUCAGGAAGGGUCAUUACUGUGGAUGUACCAUUGCCCCUCAACAACUCAGAUGGUUCCAUUGUUUGUGUGGGGAAUGAACUGGGUCUCUGUGAAGAGGAAAGUUUGAAAUUGAACACUUUGUUAACCAAUCUAACACACACGAUGGAAUUACCAACUAUUGGUUACAUUCGCCUGUUAAAGCUUUUCAGUGAAAGAGAAUCAGACCACUUUGCACCUAGUGAUAAAAAAUAUGAAUGGGUUCCACUAAGUGUGGAAUUUGGAAUCCCCCUUUUUAGUCCAAAAUUAAGCAACAAUAUAUGUAAAAGGGUUGUUGCAUCAGAAUUGCUUCAAUCAGAUACACUUACUGAACACUAUGAGGCCAUGCAAGGCUUACGAAAAAGGUUGCGUGAUGUCUGUGCAGAGUACCAGGCAACAGGUCCUGCUGCAAAACUUCUGUACCAGAAAGAGCAAUCAAAGGAGUCACCUCGGCAACUCAUGAACUAUGCCAGUGGAAGAUGGAAUCCCCUAGUGGAUCCAUCUUCUCCCAUUUCGGGAGCCUUGAGUGAGCAUCAGAGACUAAAACUUGCCAAUCGACAACGAUGCCGAACUGAAGUCCUAAGUUUUGAUGGUAGCAUUUUAAGAUCAUAUGCUCUAACUCCAGUAUAUGAGGCUGCCACAAGGCCCAUUGAAGAAACCCCAAUGGUGAAAUCUACAAAAGCUGAUCCUGAUGAAGCUGAUAGUAGAGAAGUAAUUCUUCCUGGUGUGAAUCUAAUUUUUGAUGGUUCUGAACUGCAUCCCUUCGACAUAGGUGCUUGCCUGCAGGCUCGUCAACCGGUUUCCUUAAUAGCUGAAGCUGCGGCAGCCUCAGCUUCUACUUCAAUUAAAUAGGCCUUCAUUUUGCUUGAUGGGGGUAGACACAAGUAUCUGCCAAUCUAUCAACAAAUGGCAGUUGACGAACAUUACACCAGCUUUAUUCUGAUGCCUGGUUCACCUGUUUCACCUUUGAGGUUGCUUGUUGUGCGUGAGGUCGUAUUAGUUUAAGGCUGAACUGGUUACACCCUGUUAAUCCGUACCGUAAAAAGAGAAGAAUGAUGGUUUUUAGAGCAGAUGUGUCUCGAUUUGAUGCCUGAUGUUUAUUCCCCACCAAGAAACAAACUUAUUUUUUCACAUGAUAUUGGGGGAAAAUGCAGCACAUUGAUGUUUCCUGAAUGUCAAAAAUACAAAACCUUCUCCCAUAAACUGCAUAUAAUUUUGAUUCCAUUUUUUUUUUGUUACUGCAUAUAAGAUUUCUUAAACAUGUAAAGGAGACAGCAUACAGCAGAGUCUGAUGAAUUUUUAUCUCGAAACUGUAGUGAGGAAUUAUCAUGUUAUACUGGACAUGUGCUUCCCUGAACGCAAUAUUGUAAUUACGUAACUUUUUUCAUAUGAUAAGCCAAACUAAAGUUGAUACCA